UACGUAGGGUGCAAGCGUUAAUCGGAAUUACUGGGCGUAAAGCGUGCGCAGGCGGUUUCCUAAGACAGAUGUGAAAUCCCCGGGCUCAACCUGGGAACUGCAUUUGUGAAUGUGGGGCUAGACUACGGUAGAGGGGGAUGGAAUUCCCCGUGUAGCAGUGAAAUGCGUAGAUAAGCGGAGGAACACCAAUGGCGAAGGCAAUCCCCUGCACCUGUACUGACGCUCAUGCACGAAAGCGUGGGGAGCAAACAGG
rnacentral:rRNA from 1 species